GGCCGCAGCCGGUCUCCAGGUCCGGAUAUUUUCCCGUCUCAGUGUGGUUCGCCUCUGACGGCCAUGGGCUCCAGUCCUCUCAGGCAGCUACUUUGUUACCUUUCCUACACAGCAGGUGGUGGCACGGGUCUUUAAUCCCAGCACCGGGGGACCAACCAUCUACACAGGCUGGAGAGGUGGUUCAGCAAUAAAGAACACUCACUGGAUGCUCUUCCAGAGGACCUGGGUUCUAUUCCAAGCACCCACAGGAUGGCUCACAGCUGUAGCCACUCUAAUUCCAGUGUCAGGGGAUAUGAUACCUCACAGGCAUACAUGUAGUUAAAACACCAAUAUUACAUAAAAUAAAAAUAAAUUACUUUUAAA